CUUUCUUCUCAAGUGUGUACUUUCGUUUUCAAUCAAUUGCUUCCUCUUUCCUGCGUCUGUCUCCCUCUUAAAUUCUUUCUUGCGUGGAGACAAGAACCUGGUCACCGCUCCUCAGGGUUGAGUCCUCUCUUGGACAUUCCCGUGAGCCUCCGGCAACAUCUCCUCUGAGGACCUUUUGGACACUGGAGGCUCAGAACCUGGCACAAUGUAGUCUCAAAAAUGUGAUGGAUUGGUGAUCAACUGACUGGCUGAAUGUCCCGGUGAGAGACAAGGACAGACCAAGGUCAUGGCUGUGAAGACCGAGAGGAAGCGCUGGAUUCUAUGGCAGACUCAGCAGCAGACAGAAGAUUCGAUCUUGAAAUUGUGUUCUUGCUGACUCACCGAAGGAUGCAGAUAAAAAGAGGACACCAUCUUUUCAUCCUUUUAGAGUCUUAGAUUCUCCUUCAGGCAGCUCACAUCUCAGUGCUGAUUGGCCAUUUUCUUGUUGCUGAGGAGUUUUCCUGCCACACAUCAGGGAGAGAAAUGGCUACAACCAUACCUCUUUUUCAGGCCAUCUCAACAGAAAAUGGACGAAAAAAGUAACACUCAACCAAGAAAUCAACGAAGAGAACAUACGUAGAAUAAGAAUAAGAUGAUCAAGAAAAUCGUGGGGCCUUCAAUUGCUGAAUGUCUGGAUUUCAACACUGGUGAAGAGGGAAUUCUGGGAAUUUGAGGCUGAGUGAACAUCUUGGUAAAUUGUCGACAUGUUGAGCUACACUGUUAAACGUGGGUAGUUUCUGUUGGGUGGAUAUCUGCUAAAACUCUAAUCUCAAUUGUUAUUUGACUGUCCAUUUGGGUCCUACAACCCUCCUCUUGUUUGGAGGAGAUUUUGGGGUGAGGAGUAAUUGAGGCAAGGGGUAUAUUGAAGCAUUGGAGACACGGAUUGUCAGAAUGCUGUGCAGAGCUAGUAAUAAAAAUCAGAGACCAAAUUAUGCAGCAACUCCCAAGGCUGUAGAGGAGUCGGAGCACGUUAAUUCAACACAAAACAUUUUGUGUUACUAUUCUUUCUUAUUGUACACCAUAUUAGCAUGAGCUGAAUAAUUCCUGGGGCUCCACACAGGGCUGUCUCACUGCAGGGUCAUAGUUAAAUGACUAGUCCAGCAUUGUAAAAUAAUAAAAAUAAUUAUAAUUUUAUUUGAUAUUUUUGAAUAAUAUCAAAUAAUAUCAUCAUU